GGUAUUGACUCGGGGUGCAGUUGGAUGACAUACCAACGGCUGAGACAUACCCGUCGAACCUGACACGGUUAAUACCGUCGUAGGGAAGUCGUCUAUUAGGUUA
rfam:Enhydrobacter aerosaccus SK60 contig00005, whole genome shotgun sequence.